UGGCAGGCGCCUAUGGCCCCAUCUACUCAGGAGGCUGAGGCAGGAGAAGCACUUGAACCUGGGAGAUGGAGGUUGUGGUGAACUGCGAUCGCACCACUGCACUCCAACCUGGGUGGUUGUGCCACAGCUCCUUACAGGUCCCACCUUCCCUCUCACUUUCUGCCCACCCUGUUACCUGCCUGGCCCCUGUAAGCUUUUCUGCUUGUGAUUUUGGAAAUCUUUCAACUGUAAUAGCAUGCUUUGUUGCAAACUCUCAGGGACUGAAGCCAGGCAUGAUGGCGUGCACUUGUAAUCCCAGUUACUUGGGGAGGCUGAGGCGGGAGGAUCACUUGAGCCCAGGAGUUCAAGACCAGCCUGGGCAACAUAGCGAGAACCUGUCUCAUAAAAAGGAAAAAAAUGGGGGGAAAAACCCUCCCAGGGAUAGAUAUUCACAGCCAGUCUUGAGAAGCGCCAUCAUUUUAAAGUGCAAGGCUGUGCCUCCCACAUGGAUGAUUAUUUAAUCCUCUUAUACACCAUCACAGAAUGUCUGAGAUGUGGGUUUAUCCUAUCUGUAGCUCAGUUCUUCAACCAUUCUUUUAGCAAGGCUAGUUAUCUUCAAUGACCACCCCUUGCUGCCCUCUACUAUCUCCUCCCUCAGAUGGAUUACUCUGAUUAAGCUUGAGCUAGAAUAAGCAUGUUAUCCUGGGAUUCCAUAUUGAAUAUUUUAUACAUGAGUGAGCCAUUAUGAGUUGUUUGAGAAUUUAUUAUAUUGAGGGAGGGUAACCGCUGUAACAACCAUCACCAAAUCUAAUUGACUGAAUACAUUUGAUGUUUAUUUCUUGUUCAUAUGACAGUUCACUGUUACCUAAAUUUACAUGAAGACCCAGAGGCCCAAGCCCCUUCAUUCUGGGCCCCACCGACCUCCAAGGUUUCAGGGCCCUCUGCCCCGCCUUCUGCACCCAGAGGGGAAAAGAGUGGAGGAUGCACACACCCAGGCCCGGAAGCAACGCAUGUGGCUUCCUCAUCCACAGACCUCACCCACAGUCUAUUGGCCUUCUUAAGUCAUGGACUCCUACUGAGCUGCCAGGGUGCCUGGGAAAUCCAUGUGACUGUGCCCUGGAGGAAGAGGAGCGUUUCGGUGAGCACACAGGAGUCUUUGCCACUAGCUGCUGAUGAGGAUUCCCCACAGCCAAUGAAGCAUGGAGACUCAUCUUGUAACAAACAGAUGAGUUGUUGACAUCUCUUAAGUUUGCUUUGUGUGCAGUUUUUAUUCAGAUAGAAAAGGCUGUUAAAAUCUUAACACCUAACUGGAAGAAGGGUUUUAGAGAAGGGUGGGUUUCAGUAAGCCAGUUCUUUCCACAAUCCAAGAAACGAAAUGAAUUCCCAGUGUGGAGCAGUGUGCAGGUCAGGUUUUUGUUGUGGUCUCGCCCAGGCUGGAGUGUAAGUGGUGUGGUCAUAGCUCACUACAUUCUCAAACUCCUGGCCUUAAGUCAUCCUCCUGCCUCAGCCUCCCAAAGGCAAGUAAGGUUAAGAGUAGGGGAAAUGUGAAGUUUCACAGCUUUUCUAGAAUUAUUUUUAUUAAAGGGACUCUCAGACCGUCAAACUCUCCCAGAAUCUGCUCGGUUUUCAAAAUUUGCUUAUAAAUAUUUAUAAUAUAAACAUUCAAUUGCUAUCUGUUUUUUAGAUUCUCCUCUCUCUGCCAGAAGAGUGGUAAUAGGAACUCUUGGGGGCUUCUCCCUGUUCUUGCAGGUGUGGCCGGAUGUGGUCCUGGGGGGCUCCCAUGCCAGUCCACACCCUCUGUGGAGUAAGCAGGGAUUGGUAGUUAAUGAGACCCUAAACUCUCCCGAAGCGAGAGCUCAUGUCCCAGAAACACAUCUUCCACCUCAGAAGCCAGUGGGAAAGCUGCACUUUGUGUCUGCAUGUUUGUUCUUACACACACUCUUCUGCAGCCUAACUCUGCUGACCACUUUCCAGUUUGCUCAGAUCAGACUUUCUUUGGUUCUAAGAUACAUAUUUUCUUCUUACAUUCUAACUUGUCAGAAAUUAGAAUAUGUCUUGUAGUCAAUAAAAUCUAUGGCAACAUUUUUUUUUUCUUAAUGGUUCCUAAAACUCCUGUAGUUGAUGGUGUCUUGCUUAGGUUUAAUGAAAGAUAUUUUAAUAUAUGGCAUGGUUAUGUUGAGUUGUAUCUCUAUCAGUAUUAAUGGGCUGGGGAUGAUUUAUAUUCAAGUGAACCCCCAAACUCAACCUUUUGUGUUGAAUAUUUUAUCAGUUACUCUUUAUCCUGUACUCAUUUUGGAUACUUACAGUAUUGUAUGUAUUUGUUAUAAUAAAAUGGCUUACCGUGUUUGAACGCGCUGUGUAUCUGACAAUGUUCUAAGACCUAAUUUGAUCUUCAUGACAACUUCAUAAAAUAGUUACUAUUAUUCUCAAUUCACAAAUGAGAAAGUGAGACACAGAGAUGCUAAGGAAUUGUUCAAAGUCACACAGCUACUGAGUGGCAGAGCCAGGGUCUGGGCCCAGGCAGUGUGGCUCCAGAUGCCACCCACUCUUGACGUGAUACUUACCGUGAGUGCUCCUUACCAGUUAGGGAUGAGCUGAUUCUCAUAUUUUUCCAAGAUACAUUUUAAUUUAAGCUUUAUUUGCUGCAUCAUCAUUAUCAGUAUCAUCAUCAUCAUUGUCAGUUUUCUUGUUUUAAAAUAGGGUUUGGAGUCUCUUCAAGGCUUUCUGUUUUAGAAAAGUAAAACUUAAAAAUCUAUAGCCAUGUGAAUUAUACUUAUAGAGAAAAAGAGUUGUUUUGUUAACAUCAGACAUCUUUUUCCUACUAAUUAUUUUGGAACAAUGUUCAGUAUCAGGCUAGCAAUCGAUGGAUAUCACUCAUCCAAUUAUUAUGCAUGGAUUAAGCCAUGACCUUAAAGUGUGUACAUAGUGUUGAAUAUAUUCAUCUUAUUUGCAGUCUUAUUGUCAUCUAGCUUAAAUACACUUGCCCUUUCAUAUGUCUGUUGUCACUAUUCUGUGUAAGAUUAUAAUCCUAAAUACCACUAUAUGUAUUUUUCUUCAUAUUCUAUUAUUGAACAGUAUUAAUGCUUAAUAAAUGUUAAUAUAUAAGUAAUAUAUGUAUACUUUAAAAAUUAUUACUGCUGUAGAGUUUUUUUUUUUUAAAUGAUUGUGGUCUCAUAAGGAAAAAAGAAAACAGGCAAAACAGGAGCCCUUUUCCCUUUCAUAAUGACAAGUCAGUCACCAAAGCCAAAAGCCAAUAAAUGCAGCAGUCACAGUGGACAGUGGGUUGAAAUGGCCUGGUGACAUUUCUGUGUUAUGUAACCAGUUGCCUACCAAUUGGAGUGCUUGCUGCAAGCCAGACACUCCUAUCAGCAUUUCACACGGAUUAACUCUUUAAAUUCUGAUAAUCCCACACAGUGAAUACUGUUACUUCCCCUAGUUUACAAAUAAGGAGGCUAAGAUACAGAAAACGUGUAACUUUUACACAAUAGCACAUUUGAUUUUUAUAACUGUCCUCUAAAACAUUGACAUUAUCUAUUUUUGAGAAAACUUAACAUUCAGGAGUUGGAGACCACUCCUUCCCCCAAAGCCACCCAGCUAGUGACAGAACAAAAACACCAACUCCAGUUGUCUAAGUCCAGAUCUGAUGCAUUUUCCAUGCACACCGCGGUACCAGCUUCCCCCAGUGUCCACCACUCUUGGCUGCACAGGCCUGGGCAGCAUCUGUCUCCAUCUUCCCUUGUAGAAAAGGUUGGCAAAGAGCAUGAAACACGUGCUCAGCCGAGGCAGCCCCAGGUUUCCCCAGCUCCUUCCUCUUGGCUCUUCCUCGAAUCACAGCAGCCUCACUGCUAGGCAGGAACGAAGUCCAGAUCUGCAGGUGAUCCUGGACCAGGAACUCAUUGGAUCUUUGAAUCCUCAUCUCUCUCAAAAUUCCUCUGUCCAGCUACACCAUCCUCACUGAUGGGAUCUCCUAAACUGAACUCUCCCUUUUGGUAUAAACAUAACUAAUUUGAAAUAGAUUUAAACUGGUGGUGUGUGUGUGUGUGUGUGCAUUUAAAUUUUACAUUGUCAGGUAGCUGAUUUGAUCAAACCCAUCACUAAAUUGGUGAGUUCUUUGGUUAAUAAAUUGUAAAUUGAAAGAACAGCUGAGUCAGAAGGCUUGAGUUAUGGGCCUGGCUCUGUUACUUAUUUAUGUAGUGGCCAUUGAUUUUUCAGCCUAAGUUUGUCUUUUAAAAGUACAAAUGAUGAAGGAACAAGAAUUAUCCCUUUGACAACUGGUACUACCUUCCCCAUGCUUAUUAUGUGUUAGUCACUUUGCAAAUAUCAGCUCCCUAAUCUGUAGGGAGCUAAGGCUUCAAAACCGUCCCCAAUGCCUCGCAGCUGGUACGUGUUAGAACAGGGAUCUGAACUCACACCUGACACCAAAGCUAAUUAAUAUACCUCCUGCUGUGCCUUCUGCCUCUCCAGCAAUGAAGGUGAACUCAGUUUCCAGGCUCCAGGUAGUAUUAAAGAGACAGUCACAGGCAUGUGGAGUAAGAAGAAAAUGCUGUGGUCAUUUCAUCCAGCUCCCUCAUGCUUGCCGAUGAGGAAAUCAUGAAGUGGUUCUGUCAUUUCAAAUGAUACACAGGAGGGUUAGCUUUCAUCCCGCUUUUGGUUGCAUUUGAUCUCUUCUUUUGGGUCACCUUCUGGCUAGCAGAAUACAGUUUCUUGCCAUUAGAAUUAGACUUCUUGGGUGCUAAUAUUCCUUGUUUUUUAGAUACCUAAACUCAUUUCUUUCUUUCUUUCUUUUUUUUUUUUUUUUUUUUGGACGAGUCUCACCCUGUUGCACAGGCUGGAGUGCAGUGGUGCCAUCUCGGCUCACUGCAACCUCCAUCUCCCGGGUUCACGUGAUUAUCUUGCCUCAGCCUCCCAAGUAGCUGGGAUUGCAGGCAUAAGCCACCACGCCCAGCCCUCCUUUCUUAUGAAAUUAAAGAGUCCCGUGGUGCUCAUGAAACUUGACGAAGGUGCCAGGAGCUGAGGGUGACAGACGUCCGUGAGUGGAGGUGAGGAGACCGUCCUUGGGAAACAGAGUGAAAUGGGGACUUUUCAGUUUGGGACAGUGCACGGAGAAGCAGAGGCGACCGAUCGGAGGCACAGAUGUCGUGGAAACUGCUGGAGGGUACACUCUAGAAAAACAGGAGAGUAAACCAACAAAGAGGAAGACAUGCUUGAAGUCAAGCACGUCAAGAUUAUAGCAAGGAGAGACUUCCUAUACCAACAGCCAGGAAUCCAGGCUGAAGCAGGAGGAUGGAAAUCUUUAUGAAAAACAAGAAACUGAUAUGUUUGAGUGCAUGGAAAUAUAUUGAUUAAACAGGUGACAGAUUGGAGAACUGGGGUAAAUAUUUUUUAAAGGUUAGAGGAAAAAAGACAAUUGAGAAAAUAUGACAAUCAGCUUCAGAAAAACAGAAGGUACACGGAAGAAAACAGGUAUGGACUUGAUUUGCUACCUUGGUUCAAUCUAGUUUUAAUGAGAUAAAUGCUAAUGUCUGACAACAGCUAUGAUUAUAACCCUGGGAAGGUGAGAGAGGGGAUGUGUAUGUGUCUGAUGAUGGGGAGGGCUAAGCUCUCUUCACUGUGGUGGGAGGAAAAUGCAGGACCCCUAAGGAUGAGCCUAAGGAUGAUCUGUUGAGCAAGAGCAGUGGACACUAUUUUUUUUUUUUUUUUUUUUUGAGAUGGAGUCUCGCUCUGUCGCCCCGGCUGGAGUGCAG